CUUAAUAUUAGAAUCAGAUAUUUGGAUUUGGAGGAACAGAAACAGCUACGUAUAAGCUGAGCCGUUCAUCCUUCGGACAAGCUCUACUUGAUAUUUUUCUCGAACUGAAUAGUCGUGGGAUUAAAAUCGUAAAGGAAGGAUCAAAAGAUCAAUCGCCUUCACACCCUAGACUUGACAAAAGAGAAAUUGCUGUUAUAACGGAGGAGAUGCAAACAAAAAUAGAGAAACUUCAAGAUGACAUAAAUAGCAUAAAGCAUCAAGAUGAAGUGUCAGCUAAGUGUGCCAAUGGAUUACAUUCCCUUGAGUUCUUAGAUAAGGCUAUCAAGAGUUCAAUGCCUACAAAAUGUUCCACUUCUAUAAUUUUUAUGUGAUUUGCAACUGCACCUGUAUAAUGCAUGUAUUAAUAUCUAUAUAAAAGUUUAUUAACGUUAUGCUCUGUGCUUCUUUCUAAAA